AACGAACGCUGGCGGCAUGCCUAACACAUGCAAGUCGAACGAGACCUUCGGGUCUAGUGGCGCACGGGUGCGUAACGCGUGGGAACCUGCCCUUAGGUUCGGAAUAACUCCCCGAAAGGGGUGCUAAUACCGGAUAAUGUCUUCGGACCAAAGAUUUAUCGCCUUUGGAUGGGCCCGCGUUGGAUUAGCUAGUUGGUAGGGUAAAAGCCUACCAAGGCGACGAUCCAUAGCUGGUCUGAGAGGAUGAUCAGCCACACUGGGACUGAGACACGGCCCAGACUCCUACGGGAGGCAGCAGUGGGGAAUAUUGGACAAUGGGCGAAAGCCUGAUCCAGCAAUGCCGCGUGAGUGAUGAAGGCCUUAGGGUUGUAAAGCUCUUUUACCCGGGAUGAUAAUGACAGGACCGGGAGAAUAAGCUCCGGCUACCUCCGU
rnacentral:rRNA from 1 species